ACGACCUCCAAAAAUUGCAUAAAAAUACUCUAAAUAUUUCUAAAAAUCUCUAAAAUUUUUCUAAAGCAUUUCUAGAUUUUUAUAAGGACUUUUAGGACUUCAAAUAGUGAAAUUUGGGAUGUUACAGAUCACUUAUGUAAGAAAGAAGUGGGCCCACUUCGAAGAGAAUUGGAGGCACAAUUCUUAGAGCUUCUCACAAAACUAGGCGUGUUCAUGGCUAAAAAUGAACACACUAAUGAGAACUGAGUUGUAUCAGGGAGAAUCUUGGGUGAGAUAUGUCAAUGCUUACACAGACGGCAGAACAGUUCAAGGACAUCACGUCUACUGUCAGCCAGUAAGCAAACAGAUCUUCACAAGAGAAGGUUCAAAGGGUAAAACCUACCUAUCAUAUAUUUGACUCAAUUGUUGAAUGCUAUCAUAUACACUAUUUUCCAUUCAUGUGGGGGAUUGUUGGAAAUGUGAAUGGAAUAAAGAGGUGGAGACCAAGAGACUCUAUUGUGCAUGGGUUUAAUCCCACAUUAGAAGUCUCUUGGCUUUAUUGUUGGUUUAAAUUAUGAUACAUGCAUUGAUGUUGCAACAUAUACAUGGGGAGAGACUCUCUCACGUGUGAGUGCGCAGGGGUGGGUGCAAAUCCAGGGCUCGGAUUAUACUGAACUAAGGUUGACUCGUGUGCGAGCACGACCUGCGCAUGUCUAAUGUCGGACCGAUCCAGGCAAAAUUUGCCCAAAAGAAUAAACUAAUAUAUUUCCACUUGAAUCUCUUUUUGCUACAUGUUCAAGAGUGUAACGGAAGCAUUAAUGUGAAAUUAAAGGUGAUUCUGUAACGUCUCGAUAUUAAUGACGACAUUAAAGUCAUUAAUGGUGAUUUCAUAACGUCUCAGUAUUAAUGGCGAUAUUAAACUCAUUAAUAAUGAUUUCGUAACGUCUCGACAUUAAUAAAACAUUAAAUCAUUAAUGACGUUGUUAACCCCAACAUUAAAUGAUCAUAAUUUAAUCAUUUAUUGCAGGCAAGGUAAGAGCUCCUAUAUAAGGAGGUUGGAUCUUGAGCAAAGAGAGAUGUGUAAGAGAAGCGAAAGCAAGAGAAUUCCUCCACCUUUGUUCCCCGAUUCUUCUCUCAAUCGUGCAUCCGCUCGACUGAACUACUCGUGAUAACACUCAAGUGCAUUCUCAGUUCGCCACGAACAAUCAGUGCUUGGUUGCGUUCGUGGUUUUUCCGUUGUAUCCUGGUAAACAGACGACCCAAGGAAACCUCGAAGCACAACCAGAGGUGGGGUAAAUCUGUUUCAAGGAAAUUACGACUACCGCAGGCCUCGGUCCCUUCGCCCGUUCGGCCGCUUUGUCCACUCAGACUUUGCUACUCGAACUCGGUGUUCUGUCUGCACUCAGCAAUUAGCAGAAAUCAUCCCCCGCUGACAGCCUGAUAUUAUCAGCUCAGGUCAUCUCGAUAUAUAAAUUAGAAUUGAUUUUGUAUAAUUACAAUUCAGUUAAUUUUCUAAUAUCUCCAGUAACAGAUUGUCCAAAAGGUACAACAUCAAAUAUAUGGUCAUGUGGUGUACUACUGUUUGUCCUUAUGGCUGGAUACUUGCCUUUUGAUGGGCAGACAACAUGAUUUUGUAUAAAAAAAAGAAGUAAAUGCUAUAUCAGUAGAUUCAUCAUUGUUUUUCUUAUAAUAAAAUCCAUGUUUCCCUAUUUCUGAGUAUCAUCUUAAUUCACCUACACCACAGAUCUGUAAGCCAGAUUAUUCAUUUCCAGCUUGGUUCUCAUCAGGUGCAAAGAAAUUAAUUGCGCUUAUUCUAGAUCCAAAUUCUUUAACUAGAAUAACAAUUCCAGAAAUUUUAUCAGAUGAAUGGUUCAAGAAAGGAUAUAGGCCACCAUCUUUUGAACACGGUGAAGAUGUGAGCCUUGAUGAUAUUGAUGUUUGUCUCCAAUAAUUCAGAGGAACAUCUUGUAACAGAAAAGAAGGAAAAGCCAGAGUCAAUGAAUGCCUUAGAACUCAUUUCCAGAUCACAAGGUUUCAAUUUGGGAAAUUUGUUUGAAAA